rnacentral:piRNA from 1 species
GGGAGUGUGUAUUAUACAACCUUCAUGGUUAC